AGCAGCCGCGGUAAUUCCAGCUCCAAUAGCGUAUAUUAAAGUUGUUGCAGUUAAAAAGCUCGUAGUUGAAUUUCGGGGUCAGUAGGUCGGUCGUGCCACUGGUAUGAACUGGUCUCACUGAUUCCUCCUUCUUGAAGAACCGUAAUGUCAUUAACUUGGUGUUGCGGGGAAACAGGACUGUUACCUUGAAAAAAUUAGAGUGUUUAAAGCAGGCUAGCGCCUGAAUACAUUAGCAUGGAAUAAUGAAAUAGGACGUUCGAUCCUAUUUUGUUGGUUUCUAGGAUUGACGUAAUGAUUAAUAGGGAUAGUUGGGGGCAUUAGUAUUCAAUUGUCAGAGGUGAAAUUCUUGGAUUUAUUGAAGACUAACUACUGCGAAAGCAUUUGCCAAGGAUGUUUUCAUUAAUCAAGAACGAAAGUUAGGGGAUCGAAGACGAUCAGAUACCGUCGUAG
rnacentral:rRNA from 1 species